rnacentral:rRNA from 1 species
AUGUCUGGCAGCGGCAAAACUGGAAAUUCAGGUGUCGCCCACAAGGUGUUCGACACAUGGUCUGAACCUGGACAUCAAUCUGGAAGUGAAGGUAACCAUGCACAAAACAUGUUUGAUACAGUUCCAAAUCCCCAAGGCAGAGUCCUUCAUGUGGUAGUACAUCAAUAUCAACAAUUCGUGUCUCCAGAGUUGAUUAGUCAAGUAUUUUCUGCAUAUGGGAAAGUAGAAGAAAUGUUUCACAGCCCACAUCAGGACUCACCCACACACACAUCAUCUAUAUUCAUCGAGUAUGCACAGGCUAGAAUGGCGAAUGAUGCUUUGCAUGGUUUACAUGGAUUGUACCUGUACCAAGAUGAUUGUCGGUUGGAGAUUAGGCAUGCUAAUAGCUCCGAGUUGCAAGCUUUUUAUGGAUAUUCUGCUCCUAGUUUUUCUGAAUAUCAAUUUGAGCUUCUGCAACAGCUACAGAAUGACCUACAAGCAUUAAGCAGAGAUGUGACUUGCAACCUUUUAGAUGUGCGUAUGGGUACCAAGCUUGAACCCAUACCACCCUCACAAAACAAUGUCAGCGCAGGUAUAUCCCCAAUUUCUACAUGCGAGUCAUUCUGCACUGGAAAUAAGCAAGUUGAGAGAAAAUGCAAAAACCAGGAGAAACAAUUAAAGCAUGCACCAGUACAGCAACAACUGGACUUGGAAAGCCUUCUUCUUCAUGCUAUCUCAAUUCUUGCCGAAGAUGCAAAUGAGGAAGCAAAUAUUGACACUUUUGACCAAGUCCUCCAACAAUGGCCUAUGAAACAGCAGCACCCUCAAGAUAGCAACAACACCACUGCUGAUACACUCGCUAAGGAUAUUUUUCUAACUCAUGAUGAUAAGGGAUAA